GUUUGUCGCGUUGUUCGUGAAAUCUCACGGCUUAACUGUGAGCGUGCGGGCGAUACGGGCAGACUUGAGUACUGCAGGGGAGACUGGAAUUCCUGGUGUAGCGGUGGAAUGCGCAGAUAUCAGGAGGAACACCGGUGGCGAAGGCGGGUCUCUGGGCAGUAACUGACGCUGAGGAGCGAAAGCGUGGGGAGCGAACAGGAUUAGAUACCCUGGUAGUCCACGCCGUAAACGGUGGGUACUAGGUGUGGGUUUCCUUCCUUGGGAUCCGUGCCGUAGCUAACGCAUUAAGUACCCCGCCUGGGGAGACGCGCCGCAAGGCUAAAUCUCAAAGAUCUUGACGGGGGCCCGCACAAGCGUCGGAGCAUGUGGAUUAAUUCGAUGCAACGCGAAGAACCUUACCUGGGUUUGACAUGCACAGGACGCCGGCAGAGAUGUCGGUUCCCUUGUGGCCUGUGUGCAGGUGGUGCAUGGCUGUCGUCAGCUCGUGUCGUGAGAUGUUGGGUUAAGUCCCGCAACGAGCGCAACCCUUGUCUCAUGUUGCCAGCGGGUAAUGCCGGGGACUCGUGAGAGACUGCCGGGGUCAACUCGGAGGAAGGUGGGGAUGACGUCAAGUCAUCAUGCCCCUUAUGUCCAGGGCUUCACACAUGCUACAAUGGCCGGUACAAAGGGCUGCGAUGCCGCGAGGUUAAGCGAAUCCUUUUAAAGCCGGUCUCAGUUCGGAUCGGGGUCUGCAACUCGACCCCGUGAAGUCGGAGUCGC
rnacentral:rRNA from 1 species